UUUCAGCUAUGAUGUAGGAUCUUCCCUCAGCCCUGCAACCAAAUUAUCUAAACAGCCUACAGGAGUCCCUAUGCCCAACCAUAACCAGCCCUCAGGUCUCAACUGCUUCUACUGUAAUGCAGGGCAGGCAUGUCAGAUUUUGGGGUUCAUAUUCUGGUGUCUCUACUCCCACGGUGCAGUUUCUCUGUUACUUCUCAGCCUUCUGACAUGCCAAACUAGUGCACUCCAAAUGUGAGCACUCCUCAUUUUCCACCAAUGAAUUUAAUCAUAUACAGCAGUAAACUGAAAAGCUUAAUUAUGCAAACAUGGAUGCAAAUGAAGAAUAUGAAACUUGGCAAAGAUCCUUAGAGGGCAGCAGAAAGUGGAGCAUGCCAUGACAGAGGCCAUUCAGGAGAAUGCACGGAGACUGCUGACGCUGGCUGCAGCCUCUCUGGGUGCCACUUGCAUGCCCCAGGUCACAGGAACAAGGACACACUUAAGCACAGGCUGCUGCUUCUCUGUUGUAGGAUUGCAGUGGGAAUGUGGAUUGCAAGCCCUGUUCUCUGCCCUCACAGUGCCUCCAUUUAUUCCACAGACAUAAGAUGACAAGAACUGACAGAAGAGCUCAUGGAACUAUGCAAAAAGGCAGCUCCAGCCCAGGGCAGAUUGCAAUUGGGAUCUGCAGGCAAUGACUUUGUUACAAGUCAGCAUCAAGUUGCUCUGAUGGCAGCCAGUGAACAAUUGAUUUGUGAGAGUAGUGGUGGGAGCUUGUGAGGUGAUUACUAAAGUGUUGUGGCUGCAGAAUGUUUGGUUUUCCUAUCACCCCUGCAGUGAGGGUCAGCUUGAGGAGAGGACAGUCCCUCUGUCCCCCCCACUAGGUGCUGGUGAUGGCAUUUACAAAUGUUCCAUUCCUGUAUGGACAGCAACUGUGCUACACAGGGUCUGUGGACAAAUCACUGUGAAAGAGAAACACCACUGGGAGUGACUUAUUUGACCAGGUGGGCAAAAUCAGCUGCUCCUGUAUGAGCAGUUUCAAGUGUGCCCAGCGUGCCCACAGCUCCAAGUAUCUUUCCUAGUAAACCCCCAGAUCCAUCCCUGGCCGUGGCAGUGAGCACACUUCUGAGUAAUGCCUGAGCAUGGUCAGAGCAGUGUGGCUGGUUUGCUUGGGAGGAUGAGGCCAUUUUUUAGCAUAGAUGUAAGCAACUCAGUGCCAGUUGGCCUCUACACCUAGGAGCAUUCCUUGGCACAUCUGAUUUAUUUUUAUAGGCACAGACUUUGUGAAUACUGCUGUGGUAUACCUUGGCAGUAUGCAUGGUACUAUGUGGCCCAGACUUAUUUGAAUAUAAAAACAUUAUUUUUUUUUGCCUUUAAAAAUAUGAGUACCUGCUUAUACAUUUUAUAUACUGGGGGAGGGGGGGUUGGGGCGGGGGAAUCAGUGUAUUCUCUAGUCUGGCUGAUGAGGCCAUUCCCUGCUAUGAGAGCACCUGGCAGGAGAUGGCUCAGCUGUGCACUGAUCUGCUGCUUAAUGGAUUCAGAACCAGUUUUAGGCAAAAUGAAAGCAAAAUGGACACUACCUGUAACCCAGCUGAGAUGCCAGGAAGCCUGGUGCUCUUCAAAGUAGUGGGGUAAGAGCUAAAUGGCACAAUAUUUACAAGGGUAACGCAAAGAGCUUUCAUUGGCAUAGGCUUAGAGCACCAUCAGUUUGCAGGGCUGGCACAGGCAAAUAAACAGCUCAUCUGUCAUCACUGGGAGCAGUCCAGAAGAGGUAGGCAUUGAAAGGGCUUUGUGUGCCUGGAGCUUUGUGUGGCAAGCGGCAGUGCACAAUGAAACGGGAUAAGGAAAUGUGAUGCUGCAUUACUUUGUCACAUCCGUGCCAACUGGCAACUGCUUUAAGCAAUUUUGGAAUCUAUGAAAAGUUUGGGUGAGCCUGCUUAUUUCUUGUGUUUCCUUAAGUACUUAUCUGCCAACAGAGUGUGGAGCUAUGGUCUUCAUUAAAGCAAGAAAAGGAUGUUUAAAAAGAGUGAAACGACGUUGUUAAGAGCUGAUCAAACUGACAUUGAACUGCAAACUGACUUUUGCAGCAAAGUUUGAAAAUGUCAGCAAAGUGCCUGUGAUGCUGUUUGUGGGGAGGAUCCCAGCCCUGUGCAUCACUCCCCAGUGAUGGGGUUACACGUUACCAGUAUUUCUGCUCUUCUAUUCACUGUUGCAGUGGGCAGAAGAGGAAGAGGCCCAAGCCCCUGCCAGUAUCCUGACGGACCCCUGUCCACCACAGCAUUUUUCAGGAGCUUUCUCAGGUUGGAGUGCAAUAGUAAAGAAAUGGUGGUAGAGCUGGAGAGAUCUGCUGUACAGUCCCCUCUGCUCAUGGUUCCUCUCCCUCCAGUUACCCAUGUGGUGCUCUGAUACCACCUUACCCUCUCUGGCCAUCAGCAGCCUGUCCCUGUCUCCUCUAGCUCCUGGGUCAUGGUGGUCGCUGAGCUCAGACUCAACCUUUACAUUCUUGUAGUUUCCUUGUUUUCCUCCUCUCUCCUGGUAUUUGAGGUCCUCUUCCCCAAAGUCCCCACUGGCUGCUGUAGCCUAGGAAAAGUGCAGAUCCUGUUUUACAACAAAGGAAUCACAGUAUUGAAUUUAUCCUGGAAAAGUAAUAAAAGAAAAUACCUUUUUGUGCUCUUUCCUACAGCAAGACCACAGCUAGAUACUUGUGACAGUUCACUAAACCUUUAUUUCCUCUUUCAAUAUAUGUCUAUCAGAAGUGUUUGUCACCUAAGUUAUUUGAUAGCACAAACAAUAGCAAUGGUUUGAGAUUCCAGUUAUAUUUAUAAAAAUUAAGAAAAUAGUUUUUAGGUUGGCAAAAUACCUGGGCACAAUUCAAACAUGACCUCUUCUAGCAGUUGUGAUCUUUAUAUCAUAGUGCAUCCAGGGUUUUAUUUAUUAGCAGGUGCUAAGUGUGCAAAGGCAAUUACUUUUUCAGCUCUCACAUAAAAGUGUUUCUAUGCUAAAAAGCCUUUUGUCAUUUGGUGGUGGAGUAGCAAAUCAGUGGAUGAAGACCAACUGCAAAUUACAAGAGGGGUAAAAAAUGCAGUGACAUCAGGCUUCAUCAGCCAAGAACAAAAAAAAUAAGCAAAUAUAAACAGGAUACUGAAGAGUGGGAUAGAAGCCUGUUCACCAGAGUUCUGUCUUCGCUUUUAAUCCCCAUGUUCAGGGGGCACAGAGAAGGACCAGGUACCCCUCCAGGGACUUUUCCAGUGGGCACAGUCAGCAGAGUUUGUAACAGAGACAGCUCAGGACCCCAUCUGCAUAAUGGUAAGAAUGUCCUAAAUUCAGCGAAUGCUGUGCAUAGACAGACUACAGAUACACAGUCACUUCUGCUGUCUGCCAUUUUAAAUACUGAAAAGUCAGUAUUUUAUUAAAGACCAAUACAAAAAAAAAAA